GACGGGGGGUCCAAGCGUUGUUCGGAAUCAUUGGGCGUAAAGCGUGUGCAGGUGGUUUGGUAAGUUGGAUGUGAAAGCCCUGGGCUUAACCCAGGAAGUGCAUUCAAAACUACCAAACUUGAGUAUGGAAGAAGGUCGUGGAAUUCCAGGUGUAGUGGUGAAAUACGUAGAUAUCUGGAGGAACACCGGUGGCGAAGGCGGCGACCUGGUCCUAUACUGACACUCAUACACGAAAGCGUGGGGAUCAAACAGG
rnacentral:rRNA from 1 species